rnacentral:rRNA from 1 species
CCCAGACUCCUACGGGAGGCAGCAGUGGGGAAUAUUGCACAAUGGGGGGAACCCUGAUGCAGCAAUGCCGCGUGGGUGAAGAAGCACUCCGGUGCGUAAAGCCCUGUCAGCAGGGAAGAAAAUGACAGUACCUGGACAAGAAGCCCCGGCUAACUACGUGCCAGCAGCCGCGGUAAUACGUAGGGGGCAAGCGUUAUCUGGAUUUACUGGGUGUAAAGGGAGCGCAGGCGGCGUGGCAAGUCAGAUGUGAAAACCCGGGGCCCAACCCCGGGAGUGCAUUUGAAACUGCCAUGCUGGAGUGCCGGAGAGGUAAGCGGAAUUCCUAGUGUAGCGGUGAAAUGCAUAGAUAUCACGCAGAACUCCGAUUGCGAAGGCAGCGCACCGGCGCCCUACUGACGCUCAGGCACGAAAGCGUGGGUAUCGAACAGGAUUAGAUACCCUAGUAC